rnacentral:lncRNA from 1 species
CUGUAACUAAGUUCGUGCCAACAGUAAGAACAUUGAGCUAUAGUACUGGACUUUAUAGUAAAAUGAUUCCAUAUUGUACUUCGUUUACGUUGUUGAACUAAUACCAAGACUUAUGACAUUAACGUGUAUAAGUACAAUUAAUACAAAAUAAAAAAAAAAAAAAGAAGAAAUUAUAACUAAUGAGAUGAGGUCGGAGAUUACAAUCUUGGCACUUUAUACUAAUGAUGGUAAGAAAUGGUCAAGAUGUGUCAUUUGAGAACGAAUGGGUCACACUUGUGAACGAACCAAUCCAGUUCGCAAAAAUAUAAAAAGUCGUUCAUUCGUUCAUUCGUUCAAUUUUGUUCUCGUUCGGGUUGCACUGUUUGUGAACGAAUCGACCCGGAAUCCGGAUCAUUAAUUGAAAGUCCUUCAUUCGUCCGAUUUUGAUUUGGUUGCACUGUUCGUAAACGAUGUUUUUUCUUUAAUUAAAAUCGCUUGUAUUUAAUUGGAACAACACAUACAUACGACUGUUUCCAGAACGUUAUCUCAAAAAUAUUUUACUAGCUAAUUUCAUGAAAACAAACGUUCCGUGUGUAUAAUUGUUUUUUUUGUUUUACGAUUAAUUCCAGCACAGUUCGCAGCGGUAAUAAAUAUUCAAUAAAAAUCAAAAGGAGAGAAUGGGUUGAAUACAUAUAGAGAGCAGGAGAAAAAUAUAUAACAAUGAUCCAGAAAAAUGUCCUAUUAGAGGAUGCGAAUAACAGAGAUCGAUGAAAGGAAUUAAUGAUGGCAAAAAUGAAUCUACAAAGCUCAAUAAGCUGUUAAGAAAAAGAAGAUAUACUUAUGUUUUAAUUAACUAAUUCAUAUUUAAUAUAAGAUCAGAUUACUUUAUCAUUAAUCUAUUUAUAUUUUUGUUGAUUUUAACCUGUUUUUUUUGGUUUGUAAUCAUUAGUCUAGCUUUUGAAAAAAGCCUUUUGCAUGGAACUGAUGUUGCUAAGAUAUGUAGACGUAUUUUUACAAUUUCAUAGAGGCGUGGAUAUAUUUUUUGUUAUUCUGAUAACCAGAGCUAAGGAUUUCCAUGUUUAUUGAUGAUUGGUUCAUUUAAUUAUUUAUCUAUAACAAUUAUCCCUGCUGCUGUAUAGUUAUUUCUACUAAUGGCAUUAUUUACAGAUUCAUCAAAUUAUUUCCAAGUUGCUGAAUUGGAAUACAGAGGUGCUAAAGAACAUGAUGGUUGAGAUGUGAUGUCUAAUUGUUCAGUUUGUAUACUCGAUAAUUUAUUUUGAAGUUGAAAUACACCUCUAUUAUAUUUAUCUGUAUUAUUAAAUCUAUGUUUUUUGAAUCUACAAUCCAAAAUUAUAGUUAGAGUAAUGAGAAUAUCAUCUUUAAUUUUGUCAAACCAAAUCAUAAUAUUUUCUAGUGUUGACCAUAUUCAGCACUUCUAGAGGUAAACUUUUUUCAUUUAUAAACGUGAGUAAUUUUUUAAAUGGCUUUUACAAAAAUGACCUGUUUUGAAAUUGUUAUAUAUUAUUCAACUGUAACUUCAUAAAAAUGUUAUUUUAUAAAAAUACAUCUUUAGAUUUAUCGACCACUUACCAUUAAUGGGGAGCAUGAGUGUUUAAUUCAAUUUUGUUUAAAAUGACUAAUGUUGCAAUGAUUGGUUCCUUAAUUUUCAAUACUCUAUCCAGCAAAUUAUAGGUUGAGUUUUAGCGUAUCUGUUAAUUUUGUUUUAGUUUUAAAAUUGGGUAUUCUGUAUGUUUUUAAUAUUCGUGUAAUAUGACUAAUGUGUGAGAACUUCUAUUAAAAUAUGAUACAAUAUCUUUUAUUUUUGUUAUUAUUGAUUCAAUUUUUAUUAAUCCAGAAUGAAUAAUCAAGUUGAUAGUAUGGGCAAAACAUGACAGCCGUCUCCAAUUGCAUUUAUCAAUUGCAAGUUUUAUAUUCUCAGCAUUAUCUGUUACCACAACAGUUAUACACUACUUCAACUAAUCAUGACGUUCUAGGAAACCGGUACAUCCCAACAAAACAUGAUAAUUCAAUGAUAUUUUCUGGAUGUAUAAAAUUUACUGACAUAUAAUGGCAGAGUUCAUAGGAUGAAAUUUGUACGAAAAAUGAAUGACUUGUACUUUGGAUCAUUGAAGAUGAUUUAGUUACCGAAGAAUUUAAUGUUACAGAUAUUUCUGAUUGAUAAGUAUAAAUGGAUGUUAGUUGUUGUGUAUUGUCCAAAUAUUCAGAGUUUGAGUCCUCUAUCUAAUGAAAAAUUAUUUAUUCUCUAAUGAGGAUGGAGACCAUUGGAAUUACUUUGGAUCAUUGUGUCAGUAUAAUGGGAAAUCAUGUGGAUUACUGAAUUAACCAGCAACUAACCACCAACAUUCUAAUACGAAGCCCAACAAAUAUGGGAUAGAUAUUUUGAUUAUUUUAAUAAUCAAGGAGCGUGCAGGGCCAACAAGAACUUUUGAGUGCGCCAAAGAUCGCUGUUGAACAAACGGAUGAAUGAAUGAGUUCAUUUGAUUGAACCAAAAUACUUUUGGCUUAUAGAUGUCAUCUGUAUCCUUUCUAGAUCUUAUGCUGUCUGAUAUUUUUUUUAACUCUUGACACUGCAGCUGCACGUAAAUCUCUAUCACGGUAUGCAUCCAAGGCUGGGUCGUAUAGCACUUUUUCCAUUGAAUAUAACUCCAAAAAACGUG